rnacentral:tRNA from 1 species
GCAUCCGUAGCUCAAUUGGAUAGAGCACUGGUCUUCGGAACCAGUUGUUGCAGGUUCGAGUCCUGUCGGGUGCACCA